GUGACAUCGGGAAAUGUUUGAACACUGAUAUUGCACUCUAAUUAGUGAGUUUAGUGUAUGGCUACUGGAGCAGGUUGCAAGCCAUGAGGCACUCUAGCACCCCGCCUUCUGGCUUGCCUUGGGCCAGGCAGAAAUGCUGGGUGAAAGGGCCCUUUGUCUCAGUGUCUGUCCCUGUGUCUCAUCUGGCCUUUCCUACUCCUCACAGGAGCAGGAACCUGCUCUCUUCUAUGCCCAGAUGCAGACGGCUUCUUUCACUGUGGCAGCUUGGCUCCUCCAUCCAGCUGUGGAGAGUGGAGAGCUGAGACCCCAGACCAUCAACUCCUCAACACUUCCACAGUUUUCACCACUGUCUCCUAGAGAAAAGAGGAACGUGCAAUCAUGCUGCCUCUGUUUGCUCCUUCCCUUUUUCCUCUUUGCUGAGGUCUACGCCUGUUUUUCAUCUGAAGCUUACAAAAGAGUUCAGCUCUGAGUCAUGUACUACUCAUAUAUUGGAAUUUUGCCUCCUACAUUCCCUUGGCGUUUAUUUCUGGCAUGGGGUCUGCAGGCAGGAAGGCUAUGCCAAGACUUCAAUUAUGAUCAUGAACUAUGUUGCCUUAGCAAGACUGGCUCCCACAUGCUCCUGCUCUUGGCCCAGCAGAACAUUUCUUAGAGCAGCACGAGACUAACCUACGGACCUUCAGCUAAGGAACUGUCAAGAGAUGCCUCUGCCAGGGAGAAGAUAGAGGCAACAAGGUUUAUGAAGCAGGUAAGGGCAAGAAAUGUCAGGAAGCAACAAAAACAAAGAAGA